GACGAACGCUGGCGGCGUGCUUAACACAUGCAAGUCGAACGGAAAGGCCCUGCUUUUGUGGGGUGCUCGAGUGGCGAACGGGUGUGUAACACGUGAGUAACCUGCCCUUGACUUUGGGAUAACUCCAGGAAACUGGGGCUAAUACCGGAUAGGAGCUCCUGCUGCAUGGUGGGGGUUGGAAAGUUUCGGUGGUUGGGGAUGGACUCGCGGCUUAUCAGCUUGUUGGUGGGGUAGUGGCUUACCAAGGCUUUGACGGGUAGCCGGCCUGGGAGGGUGACCGGCGACAUUGGGACUGAGAUACGGCCCAGACUCCUACGGGAGGCAGCGGUGGGGAAUAUUGCACAAUGGGCGGAAGCCUGAUGCAGCAACGCCGCGUGCGGGAUGACGGCCUUCGGGUUGUAAACCGCUUUCGCCUGUGACGAAGCGAGAGUGACGGUAAUGGGUAAAGAAGCACCGGCUAACUACGUG
rnacentral:rRNA from 1 species